UACGUAGGUGGCAAGCGUUGUCCGGAUUUAUUGGGCGUAAAGCGCGCGCAGGCGGUCCUUUAAGUCUGAUGUGAAAUCUUGCGGCUCAACCGCAAGCGGUCAUUGGAAACUGGGGGACUUGAGUACAGAAGAGGAAAGCGGAAUUCCACGUGUAGCGGUGAAAUGCGUAGAGAUGUGGAGGAACACCAGUGGCGAAGGCGGCUGUCUGGUCUGUAACUGACGCUGAGGCGCGAAAGCGUGGGGAGCAAACAGG
rnacentral:rRNA from 1 species